rnacentral:rRNA from 1 species
CAUGGAGGGUGAGAAUCCCGUUCGGUUGACCUUAUGACGCUCUACGAUACGCUCUCUAAGAGUCGAGUUGUUUGGGAUUGCAGCUCAAAAUGGGAGGUAAAUUUCUCCUAAGGCUAAAUAUCGGCGAGAGACCGAUAGCGAACAAGUACCGUGAGGGAAAGAUGAAAAGAACUUUGAAAAGAGAGUAAAAUAGUACGUGAAAUUGUUGAAAGGGAAGCGAUUGAAGUCAGUCGUACCGACGAGAAAUCAACUUAUCGUGUGCGAACUUGUGGGCGUGCGUGAGUUUCGGCCUCGCUGUUUGCAUGUUUGUGUGCUUUGGGUGUACUUUUUCGUAUGGUAGGCCAACGUCAGUUUCGAUUAUCAUAAAAUGACCGGCGGAAUGUAGCUUCGAUUUCGGUUGAAGUGUUAUAGCCUCUGGUAGAUGUGGUGAUUGAGACUGAGGAUUGCAACGAAUACCCUUUGGGCUAUCCGUCUGGCCUCUGAAAGUUGCUCAGGUGCCGAAAGCGUGCUUACGGUUAUCUAAGAUAACGUUCAACAGGUUAGAACGUGAUUACAUUCGUUAAGGAUGUUGACGUAAUGG